rnacentral:rRNA from 1 species
GAUGAACGCUAGCGACAGGCCUAACACAUGCAAGUCGAGGGGCAGCACAAGGAGCAAUCUGAGGUGGCGACCGGCGCACGGGUGAGUAACACGUAUGCAACCUGCCUGUAAGCGGGGAAUAACCCGUUGAAAGACGGACUAAUACCGCAUAAUACUAAAUUACUGCAUGGUAAUUUAUUUAAACAUUUAUGGCUUACAGAUGGGCAUGCGCAUGAUUAGCUAGUUGGAGAGGUAACGGCUCCCCAAGGCAACGAUCAUUAGGGGUUCUGAGAGGAAGGUCCCCCACACUGGUACUGAGACACGGACCAGACUCCUACGGGAGGCAGCAGUGAGGAAUAUUGGUCAAUGGACGAGAGUCUGAACCAGCCAAGUCGCGUGCAGGAAGAAUGUCCUAUGGAUUGUAAACUGCUUUUGCAGGGGAAUAAAGUGAGCCACGUGUGGUUUUUUGUAUGUACUCUGCGAAUAAGGAUCGGCUAACUCCGUG